GGCUUUGCCUGCUAUCUCUUACCCAUGUCUUUUGAGUACCUUCGUUUCCUCGGCGGGUCCGCCCGCCGAUUGGACACAUUUAAACCCUUUGUAGUUGCAAUCAGCGUCUGAAAAACUUUAAUAGUUACAACUUUCAACAACGGAUCUCUUGGUUCUGGCAUCGAUGAAGAACGCAGCGAAAUGCGAUAAGUAGUGUGAAUUGCAGAAUUCAGUGAAUCAUCGAAUCUUUGAACGCACAUUGCGCCCCUUGGUAUUCCAUGGGGCAUGCCUGUUCGAGCGUCAUUUGUACCUUCAAGCUUUGCUUGGUGUUGGGUGUUUGUCUCGCCUCUGCGCGCAGACUCGCCUCAAAACAAUUGGCAGCCGGCGUAUUGAUUUCGGAGCGCAGUACAUCUCGCGCUUUGCACUCAUAACGACGACGUCCAAAAAGUACAUUUUUUACACUCUUGACCUCGGAUCAGGUAGGGAUACCCGCUGAACUUAAAAUAUCAAUAAGCGGAGGAGACAAGAAACCAACAGGGAUUGCCCUAGUAACGGCGAGUGAAGCGGCAACAGCUCAAAUUUGAAAUCUGGCGUCUUCGGCGUCCGAGUUGUAAUUUGCAGAGGGCGCUUUGGCAU
rnacentral:rRNA from 1 species